GGGCACUGGGCGCCCAGAGUAACCAACACCGAGACGAAUAGCGAGGGCUCGGGGAGAAAAAACGGAGGAUGGCAAACGGCAAAGCCAAGGGCACGAGGUAGCGCAGCGCGCACCCAGAGGCUCCUGGGACGGACACCACCCCACGCUCACGGGUCCUCUGGCGGUGUCCUUUGAGCUGCCGGGACGGCGCAAGGUGGCUGAGCGAAGCUUUUUGCUCGAAACCUGUUUAUGCACCCUCCUGCAAUCCCACCACCUGCCCAGGCCAAGUGAGCCCCUCUCCGCUACUGGUGUUUCAUAAUGCUGGGAGCUACUUUGAUUUCAUGCAUUGCCCUUCAGCUGCCAUGUUAUGAGGACACUUGGAGAAAGCUACAGGAGAGGAACUGAGGUCUCCUGCCAUCAGCCACUUGAGUGAGCAUGGGAGUGGAUUCUCCAAACUCCAGUUAAGACUUGAGAUGUCCACAGUGGCAGCCACUAGCUUGACUGCAACUUACGAGAGACCCUGAGCCAGAGGCACUCAGUUAAGUCAUACACAGUUUCCUGACCCGUAAAACCUGUGACACAAUGAAGGUUUGUUGUUUUGGGGGUAAUCCGUUAUUCAGCAAUAGAUAACGAAUACAGAAGGCUUGUAAUUGUAUAACCAACGUGAGUUUAUAAGCGGAUAUCUGACCUCAUUUGUUUUCUCCUGAAAAAGUUAUAGAAAAAUCACAAGACUGCAAGUCACUCUCUCUCUUUCUUUUGUGGGGAAUAAACAAGUAUAAUUACAAUUUCUAAACCUAUUGUUUUAUUCUCAAAUAUAAUUACAAUUUAAACAGGAUAUUGUAGAGCUCCAUCAUAGGGAUUAACACUAAUUAGAAUUAAAGAACGUUUUUGUGAAAGUCAGCUUUUUUUUUUUAAAUAAACACUCGUCCCUUGAUAAUGUAUUUCUUUUUCAUAAAAUUAAAAAAAAAAUGUGGGUUGUAGUAGGUGUAUAUAUUUAUGUGGUACAUGAGAUGUUUUGAUACAGGCAUGACGUGUAAUAAUCACAUCAUGGAAGAUGGCGUAUCCAUCCCCUCAAGCAUUUAUCCUUUGUGUUACAAACAAUCCAGUUACACUCUUUUUGUUAUUUAAAAAUGUACAAUUAAAUUAUUAUUGGCUAUAGUCACCCUGUUGUGCUAUCAAAUAUUAGGUCUUAUUCAUUCAUUUAACUAUUUUUUUGUACCUAUUUAUCAUCCCCAUCCCCGGUUCCCUCCCACCACCCACCCCACUACCCUUCCCGGCCUCUGGUAACCAUCCUUCUACUCUCUAGCUCCAUGAGCUCCAUUGUUUUGAUUUUUAGCUCCCACAAAUAAA
rnacentral:lncRNA from 1 species